UUCGAGGUAGUGACGAGAAAUAACAAUACAGGGCAUUUUAUGCUCUGUAAUUGGAAUGAUGGGAAUGUAAAACCCUUCCAGAGUAACAAUUGGAGGGCAAGUCUGGUGCCAGCAGCCGCGGUAAUUCCAGCUCCAAUAGUGUAUAUUAGAGUUGUUGCAGUUAAAAAGCUCGUAGUUGGAUUUCUGUCGUGGUCAUCCGGCUCCGCCCGUAUGGGUGUGCGCCUGGUUUGCCCUCGGCUUUCUUCCGGUAGCCUUCCGCGCUUCACUGCGUGUGUUGGUGUUCUGGAACUUUUACUUUGAGAAAAAUAGAGUGUUUCAAGCAGGCUUGUCGCCCUGAAUACUUCAGCAUGGAAUAAUAAGAUAGGACCUUGGUUCUAUUUUGUU
rnacentral:rRNA from 1 species